UCGGACAUGGUGUACGGUACACGGCUUCUCGCUUUGGCUGAGAUGGUUUUAUAAGCAUGAGGCAGACCGGGGUUCGACUCCCCGUGUCCGAA